GACGAACGCUGGCGGCGUGCUUAACACAUGCAAGUCGAACGGUAAGGCCCUUCGGGGUACACGAGUGGCGAACGGGUGAGUAACACGUGGGUGAUCUGCCCUGCACUCUGGGAUAAGCCGGGGAAACUGGGUCUAAUACCGGAUAUGAGCUCCUUUCGCAUGGCGGGGGUUGGAAAGGUUUACUGGUGCAGGAUGGGCCCGCGGCCUAUCAGCUUGUUGGUGGGGUAAUGGCCUACCAAGGCGACGACGGGUAGCCGGCCUGAGAGGGCGACCGGCCACACUGGGACUGAGACACGGCCCAGACUCCUACGGGAGGCAGCAGUGGGGAAUAUUGCACAAUGGGCGAAAGCCUGAUGCAGCGACGCCGCGUGAGGGAUGACGGCCUUCGGGUUGUAAACCUCUUUCAGCAGGGACGAAGCGAGAGUGACGGUACCUGCAGAAGAAGCACCGGCCAACUACGUGCCAGCAGCCGCGGUAA
rnacentral:rRNA from 1 species